rnacentral:lncRNA from 1 species
UUUAAUUUUUAAAAGUAUAGCCGCACGGCUAUAAAACGCCCAGGGCCCAGGUGCCACGUGUCAAAUGAGUAAAGCCGAGCGGCUAUACUAUUUUUGGCAAAAAAAGGAAGAUGAGUACAGCCGCGCGGCUGUACUAUUUCUGAAAAAAUUUCAAAAAGAAUCUGGUAUAGCCGGGCGGCUAUACUGUAUAUGCAUGCACACAGACCCGCCCAGUGUUUAUACACCACGCGUCAAGGAGUAGAGCCGGUUUUUGGUUUUAAAAAAGUAUAGCCGCGCGGCUAUACUAUUUUGAAAAUCAAUUCAGGGGAAAACUGGGUAUAGCCGAACGGCUAUACUAUUUUGUUUUUAGUGUAUAUCAUUUUUUUUUUAUUCAAUAAUAUGUGAGAAUUAUGUGUUCAAUGGUUAAUUAAUACAUAUUCAAUUAAUCAAAAGGUUGGCCUUGGGCCUUUGGGCUCUUGGGGUCGGUGAUUUAAAUUAAACCCGAUUAGUUAAUUAAUUAUUUUCAAAUAAUGUUUUGAAUUUCAUCCUUCUAUUUGUUGUUUAAAAUAUAAUUACUAAUGAAAGUAAUAAGAAAAGGCUAACAUACUACUUAAUUACAUAUAUUAAAUUAAAGAAGUGGGCCAAAAAACAAAAGUUAAGACACUAAUUUUAUCUUUUUUAAUUUGUUUUUUUAAAAAAAAUUUCAAAGAUUAAAUUUUAAUUUUUAAAAGUAUAGCCGCACGGCUAUACAACGCCCAGGGCCCAGGUGCCACGUGUCAAAUGAGUAAAGCCGAGCGGCUAUACUAUUUUUGGCAAAAAAAGGAAGAUGAGUACAGCCGCGCGGCUGUACUAUUUCUGAAAAAAUUUCAAAAAGAAUCUGGUAUAGCCGGGCGGCUAUACUGUAUAUGCAUGCACACAGACCCGCCCAGUGCUGAUGCGCCACGCGUCAAAGGAGUAGAGCCGGUUUUUGGUUUUAGAAAAGUAUAGCCGCGCGGCUAUACUAUUUUGAAAAUCAAUUCAGGGGAAAACUGGGUAUAGCCGAACGGCUAUACUAUUUUGUUUUUAGUGUAUAUCAUUUUUUUUUUAUUCAAUAAUAUGUGAG